rnacentral:rRNA from 1 species
CCUACGGGAGGCAGCAGUAGGGAAUCUUUCACAAUGGGCGAAAGCCUGAUGGAGCAACGCCGCGUGCAGGAUGAAGGCCUUCGGGUUGUAAACUGCUUUUAUAAGCGAGAAAUAUGAUGGUAACUUAUGAAUAAGGAUCGGCUAACUACGUGCCAGCAGCAGCGGUCAUACGUAGGAUCCGAGCAUUAUCCGGAGUGACUGGGUGUAAAGAGUUGCGUAGGUGGCAUAGUAAGUAGCUAGUGAAAUCUGGUGGGUCAACCAUUCAGACUAUUAGCUAAACUGCUAAGCUCGAGACCGUUAGGGGUAACUGGAAUGUCUAGUGUAGGAGUGAAAUCCGUAGAUAUUAGAAGGAACACCGAUAGCGUAGGCAGGUUACUGGGACGGUUCUGACACUAAGGCACGAAAGCGUAGGGAGCAAACGGGAUUAGAUACCCUGGUAGUC